UACGGGGGGAGCAAACGUUGUUCGGAAUCACUGGGCGUAAAGCGCGCGUAGGCGGGUCGUUAAGUCAGGGGUGAAAUCCCGAGGCUCAACCUCGGAACUGCCUUUGAUACUGGCGACCUGGAGUCCGGGAGAGGUGAGUGGAACUCCUAGUGUAGAGGUGAAAUUCGUAGAUAUUAGGAAGAACACCAGUGGCGAAGGCGGCUCACUGGCCCGGUACUGACGCUGAUGCGCGAAAGCGUGGGGAGCAAACAGG
rnacentral:rRNA from 1 species